rnacentral:rRNA from 1 species
GAAUUCACUAGUGAUUAGGCCUAACACAUGCAAGUCGAACGGUAACAGGUCUUCGGACGCUGACGAGUGGCGAACGGGUGAGUAAUGCAUCGGAACGUGCCCAGUCGUGGGGGAUAACUGCUCGAAAGAGCAGCUAAUACCGCAUACGACCCGAGGGUGAAAGCGGGGGACCGUAAGGCCUCGCGCGAUUGGAGCGGCCGAUGUCAGAUUAGCUAGUUGGUGGGGUAAAGGCCUACCAAGGCAACGAUCUGUAGUUGGUCUGAGAGGACGACCAGCCACACUGGGACUGAGACACGGCCCAGACUCCUACGGGAGGCAGCAGUGGGGAAUUUUGGACAAUGGGCGCAAGCCUGAUCCAGCAAGGGCGCGUGCAGGAAGAAGGCCUUCGGG